rnacentral:lncRNA from 1 species
GCUGAGCAACUCCUUGGCUGGAGGCGACGAGCCGUUUUCUUCUGGUUUCUGAUCGGUCUCUGAUCUGGGAGCCGACCUGCUUCUUCGGAACCGUUUAGCUCCUUCUAACGGCUUCCUUUGGAGCACGUCGGCGUUGUGGUUAUCAGGUACCAAUGCUCGUUGAAUACUGUUGUCAGACAUUGGUUUAGGUUGCGAAUUGCCGUCAGAAUCAAAAACCUAUUAUUCAGAGAAUGUCACACGUUACAGAUAAGCGAGAAGGAAGUUUAGAAGCUCAUCAAAUAUCAGGUAAAAAUUAAGGCAAGACGGUGGAUAUGCACUGAAUUGCAUGGACAACUGAGAGACAUUUUUUUUCCUAUCACCAUCAUUCUAAGCAUUGAAUUUUUUAACUGCAGGUCAAAGAGAGGCAGACAAAGUAAGAACAUCUUAGCAGACUAUGUACAAAUCGACCCUUAAAAACGCGUAUAAGGGGCAUUGUUGACCAUUUUUACGGUACGAAAUUGUCCCGGACAGAACAGACCCUGUAAAUGGAACUGUAUUCCACUAUAGUUUUUCUUUUUCUUUUUUCCUUACGUCCCGGCGAGCCGUCUCCUGCCACGGCGUGCCUCGCCCGCCUCGCCUCCGUCUCAUCUUGGCGCCGCCCGUUCCUGGUCAUGCAUGCAGUGAAGGAGGCCUGCGUCGUCUGCCCCCGAUUGAGCUCGGCACUGCCCGCCGCCGCGCGUACGUUUCCCCGUCGUGGCCGUGCGAGCUCCCCCACCCUGCUCCGCCCUUCUUCGGUGCCGCCCACCCUGAUUCAGGCCGCCGGUAGCCUGCUUCAUCCUGCCCGUGGACGGCCGCGUCUUGGCAGUGAAGGUCGAGCUGGCCGUAAUUCGGAUCGACGGCGACAAAUUUCGGCGUGCGGCGGCUUCUUUUGACAUGCAGUGACGGAUUCCGGUGAGUUUCAGAUAGAUUCCGGCCAGUUCCGCGGCGACGCGUUUGCUCCGACGAGGUUUGACCAGUUUACGGGUUGAACUGUAUACUGCUUUCAAAAGUGCACAUAUAAGGUUUUCACCGAUGGAUUUAGCGUGGCCUUUAAAAAGUUUACAGGUCGAACAAGUUUUACGGGGUCUGAUCCACGCCGUUUUUCCGAUCGAAACUGUAAACAUUUCAUUUUUUUACGGGUUUAACCAGUUUAUGGGGUCUGCUAGAAGGCCAAUACUUACUAGUAGAUGUUAUCUUGAAUUCCUGAUGUUGACUUUCUGGGCCUUUAGGCACAGAAUUCUCCUCUUAUCCAGUAUAAAAAUAAGGGCCGAUUCCUAUUUACCUAUUCUGUCGCUUUCUCUCUGGACAAAGUCGCACUGCUACUGGCUCAGAUCGGAUCUCUACAGCUAGCUUAAUCUGCAACCCAAGGAACUGAGAAGCUAAGUGCUGGAAAGUUAACCUUGAUGAGAGACGAAAAGGGGAAGCGAGACGAGCAGGGGAAGCAUUUCCCACUCUGCUAUACAACAGUAGCAUCUACUCGUGUUGAAGCUACAUACAGAAUCAAAGCCAUUCGCACGAAGCAAGCAGAGCACAGUUCAGAAGGCAGAGAGAUUAUCAUCCCUUACCUCCCUCCGGCCGACGGAAGCUGGGCGACGCUUUGGGGUGUCGAGGCGCCUUUCUUACUCCUUUUCUUCUUCUUCUUCUUCCCUCGAGCUCUACUGCUUUGCUCAGCUGAUCGAUCUCCUCCCGCUCCGCGUUGGCUCGCUUUUUGUCGACCCGAGCUGCGACCUGAGGCCUGGGCUGAGAGGCACGGAGAUGGGGACGCACGCACGCGCCACGACGGCCGCGCCGGAUCUCUCUACGUGUUGGCGCCGCGUGGGUUGAGCUGUAGAGGUCCCGCCGCUUUGACGUGGCCGGCCCCACCGUGCCGGCGCAAGUUGGAACCCUUCGCCUCGCCGUUUUGUUGACCUUCCUGACCCGGAGGGGGCGCGGCGCGAACCGAUCUGGCGGGUCCAGGUCGGUUGGCCGCAGGCAAAAUUCAGCAGGACUGCUGCUCCGUUUCUCAGAUCAAGAUCCAACUGAGAUCGGAUCCGAGCUCGGCAUGUUUAGCUGAACGAAAUGCAACCGUGCAAGGAGGUGGGGUGCGGGCGUCCAGCGAAUCGGGAUAAGAAAGGGCCUACAUGUCACUCUCUCCCCUCGUGCCUCGUGCCCUUCAUGAAAGCUCCACCCACCGGCCACCGCCCCCAUCACUCUCUGGUAUCGUUGCUCAUUCAAGAACGAUGUUUCUAGCUUGCUUUGCGACGCGGUAGGAACAUUUAAUAAAGAUGUCAAUCAGCCAAUGGGUUGGUUUUUGCACGGGUUGACCAAUCCCAUUGUUAGAUUCUGGAGGCCUCUCAGGGCGCUUGCAAUUUCGGCCGUCGGAUUGCGUUUUCAAACGAAUUCGGUCCGUCGGAUCUUCCUGGCCAUAAUGUGUGUGCUCUUCUCUAAUUACUAGCAAAAUGACCCGUGCGUUGCAACGGAAGAAAAAAACAUAAUCUUCAAUGAUGAUGACCACAUUAUGUUCACACAUAAUCGCUUGAUUUCGAAAUUUUGUGCACAAAUGCAAGAAAAUGUUUCUUCUUUUAAAUUUAUUCACAAGUUGAAGCAAUCUUUGCAUUUUCAAAAAAAAUAUAUAUAUCAUGGUUGUCAAAAAUCUUGGUAACUCAAAGAAUUAUUCUUAAUUUCAAGAUUUUUUUUUAGAAACACAUACAAUAAUAAUUCGAUCCAUCCAACAAUUAAUUCUUCAAAAAUCACACGGGUAUAUUUUCACAAAGACUUAGAAGCAUUAAUGUUUAACUACAUACAUUAGAUCUUUCAUGAACAAUUUUACAAAUAUGAGAACAAUUUUAAAAUUAAGAACUUUUUUUACAAUUUACAAACAUUUACUAAAAAUUGUGAAUAUUUUUUAUAUUUCAAACGGGUUUAAAUAUUUUCUUUUGAAUUGGCGACCAAUUCUAGAAAAGACGAACAUAAGUUUUUAUGUUGCAGGAUUUUACUUUAAAUUCACAAACAUUUUUGAAACGCAUGAAGUUUUGCUGAAUAAACAAACAUUUUUAUAAGUCAGUAAUAUAUUUAUUAAAUUCAUGACAUUGUUUUUGAAUUUGCAAAAUUUUUUAUAAAAAUCCGGCGCCUUUUUUGAAUCCACAAACAUUUUAUGUUUUCGUCAACAUUUAAUUCGAAAUUCCUAUUUUUUAAUAUGCAAAUGCUUUUGUAAUUCUAAAUUAUUUAAAUUAGAAGUAAACAAAAAUGGAACGGACAAAAUUAAAUAAAAAAGAAACUAUCAAAACAGGCAUUAGCUAUUUUUAAAUGCAUUAACAUAUUUUGAAUUAGAAAGCAUUUUGUUAAAUGCUUUUAAUAAUUUUUAAUACAUGGAAUUUGAUUUGAAAUCAUGGACUUUUCUUAUUGUAUAAACAUUUUUUCAAACUUGCAAACAUUUUAUUGUAUAUGCGAGCAUUUUUUAUAAAGACUCCGAGCAGUUUUUGAAGUCACAAACAUUUUAUUUUUUAAAAUAUGUUGAUUUAAAAUUUUAAGUUUAUUAAAAGUUUAAAGGUUAUUUGAAGUUCUAAAUUAUUUAAAAUAGAAAAAUAAAAUGGAACUGAAGAUAAAUAAAUAAUUGGAACUAAAAAAACUGAUGCCUGUGCAUGGGCCGGCCAAUACGGUGUGCUGGAUAUUCUCUCGGGGUGCAGAGCGGAGGUUUUUACAUGGGCCGGCCCAGUCUGAGAUUUUUCGUUUUGUGAAACGUUUUCUAUUACAUACCGGUGACAUGGUGGGUAAUUUAUGCAAACUUUAUGGGCAAUUUUCAUGACGUACCACAUAAGCAAUAGGUGCUUUAUUAAUAUCUCUAAUCUCUAACUAGACCAUGAUGGCGCGUGUUGCCGCGCCCGUCCAUUUGGUAAAUGGUAGAAAUUUAGUGAAAUAAAUUAAGACGUGAAACAUGGAAAUCAAAUUUUCAUCACGAACAAUGAUGCACUAAAGGUCAUGCCAAGAUGAAAAAUAUGAAAAUAAUCUAUUGGUGUAGUGGGCUUACAAUAUGUGUUCGUGGCCAUGCAAAUGUAUGAAAUAAAGAGUACAUGUCGAGGGCUACACUUGGCAUCACAAAUUCAAAUACAAGGAAUGAUAUCCAGAAGGUACCUUUAUAGCACAUCAAUAACACACCAUCCUCUAUUUUUGUACGUCCGUGUGUGUUCCUUCCAUCAAGCAGUUGAAGAAAAUUAUGUGCGGAAAUUGUGCUACCGCAAGAAAAAUAAUUGUAAUGCUCGGUGCACAUAUUCUGCAAUAACUUGGCUUGUGCUAAGCAAUUAGUUAACUAUUCAUGUCCCUUUCUAUACCGAACCACCGUCUAUCUAUCAUGCCAUCAUUUUUGUUUGUCGUCAUAAACGAUAUGGAUUCAUAUGAAACAAUAGAUAUAGUCUAAUAAAUUGCACUUGAAACCAGUUACCUCUUGCCUGAUGUCCUCGUGACCACCAUAAUAAUUUCUUAAAUCACCCUUCAGCCUUCCAUUCAUUUGAAGCUACAAAAAGAACACACUGGAAGAAAAAAAUACUAAGAGAUGAUCAAGGUAAACACACACAUAAUGGGAUCCAACCAUGGAAAAAAUGGUGCGGGAUUCAAUAAAGAAGAAAAAAGAGGAGGAUCCAUUGCUCCAGCCCGAUCUCAUGAAUGAGAAGAUCAUGAAGACAGGAAGCCUCAAAGAAAUAGGAGGUGCAAGGAUCAUGCUCGUCAUUAAUUUGCCCAUAAUCCCAGUGUUUAUUCUGUCAUCAGUCAACAUAAACAAUGAAAUAAUUUUGGAAAAAAUCACAUUUUUUAUGUAGAAGCAGCAAUUAGAUUAUUAACAAUUGAUAAAUAUGGUAUUGCAUUUAACUGAAUGUAAAAUGGAGUACCGGGCUAAUCUUGCAAAGACACACCCCUGCAGUAGUAAAGUUUCAUCUGCUGCGCCUUCGGUGAGAGAUUCUAAUGUCUGUAUCAAGGGUUCAGAGAAAGGUAGUCAGCCAUGAGAAAAUCAAACACGAACUAAUCAAUCUUACAACUUGUCAUGACGUCCAUGUAGUUCUCAGUAGGAAGAAGGUCACACCAACGAGGAUCAGGUGUGCUUGUUCGUCGGCCCCAUCAUGCUUUUCUCCACCAUCUGUUUGCUUUCUAUCUCUCUAACCAAUCGAUCAAGAACCAUCGUGAUAGAUUGGAGAUCGGAGUGAAAAUAUUAUACUUGUUCUUGAUUCAGUCACAGCAUACUUUGUCGAGUACGUGAGGUCCAUCCACAAAAUCAUUUAGGAGAGCACAAACACAACACCCAGAAUUCAAAACCGAGAGAGAUCAGGUGAGGAGUAGAGGAGGAAAUCCGCGAACUUACGAAGUGGCCCAGGAACGGUGGCGGCAGCUCCAUCCCAAUCGUCCAUGUUGCUACACGAGGAGGCUGGGGCGAAGGGGGUCGUCGUGGGGUUCCGAUUGUUUGUGCCGCCGUCGCCGUAGAUGGGGAGAAUAGGGGAGUUGCUCUAGAACCGUCGCCUUCGCACCUGCACGGAAUCGCACAAACGCUCGUCAUCCGUCGGUGCUUAAUGGGCUGGUCGCUUGGGCCUAAUCAACGAGGAUACUGCGUUUCGGCCACGAGAGUAGCCUCCCCUUAGGACAGCCAGCCCACGAAACACAAACAUGACACACAGAUCAGACCGAACGGCUAGAAAUGGUUUGAUCAGAAAAAUUAACGGUCCAAACAUCUCAUGGCGUGAGAAGAUAGGGAUUAGGCUCAGUUUUACUGUCCUAAAUUUGUUAACCCCAGUUCACUUUGGGUCCAUAAGGUGUGUGUUCUUCUCCAAUCCAUACUCUUGAUGCUUCGUGUGAUUACUUUUGCAGCAGUUUCAGUUUGUUGUAAUGAGAUUGCUCAUAUUCUGUUGAACUCAAACUCUGUAGGGCUCCCAACAUUUUGAAGACAUAUUAUCUACUCCCUCCGUUUCUAAAUAUAAGACCUUUUAGAGAUUAUAUUAUAAACUACAUAUGGAUGUACAUAGACAUAUUUUAGAGUAUAGAUUCACUCAUUUUGCUUUGUAUAUAGUCUUCUAGUGAAAUACCUAAAAUGUCUUAUAUUUUGGAACGGAGGGAGUAGUUAUUUUACUAGCUUGGUCUCAGCUAAGGAACUGUUGGAGCUUCCUUGCCACUUGAGAAGAGCUUGCAUUGCAUAUGCUGGCAAGCUCGCUCCUUUGUAGUGGUAUAUUCCUCGAAUGAGAGACUAUGAUGUAAGUCUCUGUGUGUGUGUGCGCGCGCGCGCCUGAAUAGAAACUCUGGGUGUUCACUUAGUUCUCCCAGGUCAUCAUCUCAUGGAAGCAAACUCCUAUUUGCCUGAGACCUCAUUAGAUAGAUUGCCGUUUGCCUUGCAAUUCUGGACCCAGGAGCAACAAAUCCAAGAAAAAAAUACAUCUACACAGGCUACCAUAUUGGAAGCUGGAAAUAUUUCAUGACUGGAAAACAAUAGCUUAACAAACUUCAUUUACACAGGUACACAAGCUUAUCAAAGCAUCACCAAAUACCUCUUUCUUACACAUGUCCAGGUGCAUAUGAGCAGAUCCAUUGUGUUAAAUACAUGUAGGAGCUCAACAAGGUCAUAUCUUUUGACACUUUACAAGAUUACAGAACUAAUUAACAGCAUUAACCGACCAUUCAACUAUAGUAUUUAAGCUGUAGAAUUAAGUACAAGCCCAUAUGUUCAUCACCGACCGGAUUGUGCAUGAGUAAGGUCAUAGGUGGAGAGCGUGCCGGACUGGUCAACGUCGAGUUUCUCAAACUCCUCUAGAAAAGAAGAUAUGUCUUCUUGGCUGAUCUUCCCCAGUUCUUUGAGCUUGUACACGACAAAUUCAGCAGCACUGCACAUAUCAAAGUUCACAAAUCAACACCGAUGCUCAUUACCUGCAAAAUCUUAAGGGAUAUGAUGGCGAGGAAGAAUACUAAAAAUGCUUUAUGCGCUUACCCCACUUUUCGAUCAUUAUCCAGAUCAGCUGCUUCAAGAUCCAUGUUUGUUAUUCUCCGUGUGAGAACCCAUUUGGCCAGCAUUUUCUGCCGUCGCUCGGUGUAGAUCUCAGCAAGGUACAUGAAGAACAGCGCCAGGAUUAUGGUGCUCGUAAUUAUCCAAAAUACCGCGAAAGUGCGCCCCAAUUUGGACGAGAAGCUUUUAUCCCCAUAGCCCAGGGCAGUUAUUGUGGCACAGACACAAUAAAAGGAAUCAACAAGGCUCAGCUUCUCAACCUUCCAGAGAAAAACAGUCCCCACAACAAUGGUUGUCACAAGAAGUAGGGCAGCAGUGUAGAAUUUGUACUUUGUCUUGUUUGUCUCAAUUUGCCUGAGCAUUUUGGCCUCGCUAAACUUCAUGUUCAUGUGCAGUGCCUUGAAGAACAGCACCUCCUGCUUCUCGACGAGAUAAUCUGCCGACUUGCUCACAAAGAGAGCAAUAAACGCCAUGCCGGUGAAGACGAAAACACAGGCGAGGAGCUUCGCCGUGUCACUGUGAGGGACAAGGUCUCCAUAACCAACCGAUGUCAUCGUGACAAUACAGAAGUAGAGUGCGUCAAGCACCCUGUUGGUUCUCUUGCCAGAUAACUGAUCCAUGACAAGGUAAAAGACGACGACGCCCGCUAGCAGGUAGAGAAAUAGGAGGAGCCCUGCUAGUCUAAAGCUCGGUCGUAUCACGCUGAACAACUCCUUGUCUGGAAGCGGCGAGCCAUUUUCUUCUGGUUUCUGAUCGGCCUCUGAUCUGGGAGCCGACCUGCUUCUUCGGAACCGUUUAGCUCCUUCUGACGGCUUCCUUUGGAGCACGUCGGCGUUGUGGUUAUCAGGUAGCAAUGCUCGUUGAAUACUGUUGUCAGACAUUGGUUUAGGUUGCGAAUUGCCGUCACAAUCAAAAACCUAUUAUUCAGAGAAUGUCACACGUUACAGUAUUGGUGUUACAGAUAAGCGAGAAAGAAGUUUAGAAGCUCAUUAAAUAUCAGGUAAAAAUUAAGGCAAGACGGUGGAUAUGCACUGAAUUGCAUGGACAAUUGAGAGACAAUUUUUUUCCUAUCACCAUCAUUCUAAGCAUUGAAUUUUUAACUGCAGGUCAAAGAGAGGCAGACAAAGUAACUUGGGUCAAAAAUAAG